UGCUGAGUGCCCAGCCUGAGCAGGCAGGCAAAGAGCUGGGCACGGGGCCCCGAUACCACAGCCACCAGUGGCACCAUCUUCAGGCAGGAUCAGUCUGGAAGGGAAGAGACAGGGCUACGAGUGCCAAGGUAGAAACCAUCAUGGGACUGAAGCGUUUUCUUCCCAGGAGGAACGGAGGCCAGCAUCUGGCCCACUCCCACUGGUCCCCAUCAUCUCUCAGGACCACUUUCCCCACUGGCUAUGGUCCCAAGGCCUCCUGAGAGCACCCAAUUGAUCUGAGAAGCAACCUAGAGCUGUACGAAGGGGACUUGGAGGCCCACGAUUUUUUUUAGAUUGAAGAGAAGAAGAAAUCACCAAGUAAGAUAUGGAUGUUUCAUACAGAAGGAAGAAGAUAUUUCAUGGUGCAUACCCAGUCAUCGCAUCCUGCCUUUCUUUCUUAAUGUCCACAGAAUGAUAGAAUCACAGCGCAAAAAUUCUCACUUUCCAGAAAAUAAAAAUCAUGUUUUCAUGGUCCUGACACUAUAUCUAUCCCCAUGGAAAAAGCCCCAUAGAAAGAACC